ensembl:snoRNA
AGCCUUUUUAUGGUUUACAAGCACCAUGCUUGGGUUUUCACACAGAUGUGUGAGAGGUGCCUCCCUCAAACCUUGUUACAACAUCAGCAUAUUACCCAUCUGAAA